AAAACAAUUUGCUUAAUUAAUUUAGUAACAACGCUCAAGCACUACAACAAAAAUGAUCUAUAGCGACACUUUUAAAUGUAGGUACAUGUCAAAAAAGUGCUGCUAGCUAAAAUUACCGACACUUUAAAAAAAUGUUGCUAUAUGUGGGGUCGCUAGGUAUAUAGUGAUAGUUAAAGAGUGUUGCUAUAACCUAAAAGAGUGCUGCUAAUUUACCAACACUUAUUUAAGUAUUUAGCAACCGCCGAAACUCUAUCUCGUUUGCUGCGGUGACGGAGGAGGACGACAGGAAAUGCUCUUCGUCUAGAAUUUCAGUAGAUUGAGUGAAGAGAGAAGAAAAAAUGGUAAUUGAUUUUUCUUUUUUUUUGCUUUUCUGUUUGUAAUCGGGUCAAAUGGACUGGGUGCGGUGGGUUGAGUAGAGUAAUCUUUUAUUUUUUAUUGGAUUAGGCUUUAUAUUUAGGCAUAAGUAGAUGUUUUUUUAAGUUUUAGCAUAAAUGAGACACUUACUUAAAAGUGUCCCAAAUAUGUGUCCCUAUAACCUAAUUCUGUUGUAGUGAUUUUUGGACUGGAUUUUAGUCUAAUAAAGAAAACUAAUGGGGGCCAGCAAAACCAUUUUCUUUUUUACAAACAAAAUAGAUAAAAACUCAAUAAGUGAAAAAAAAAUAUAGAAACAAAUGUUGAAAAACUCAUAAUUUUAGCAAUUAGACUUCAUAAAUUUUAUCAAAUAGUUUCGUUUUGUAUUGUAUAUAACCUUGCAAUUAAUUGUUUGAAAUACAAAAAAAAACAUAUUCUUCUACUCUGGAGCAUGAAAAUGUAAUACAAAUUGAGGAUACUUUCACUCUAUUAUUCAAUCGUGAUGCUUAAUUAUGACCAAUAGAUCGAAUAGGAAAAAAAAAGAAUGUUUUCCUUUUUUUGAACUCUGAAAGUGAUAUAAAAUCAUGUGCAAGGCAUGUAAUGAAAACAAUUUGCUUAAUUAAUUUAGUAACAACGCUCAAGGGGAGUGCCCUAUGUAUAUAUCAAACCGUUCGAUAAAACUUAGGAGGUCUAAUUGCGCAGAUUAAAUAUUUAGGGGUUCUAUUUGCAAAACUGUUGAUGUUCAAGGGACUUUGUUCAUAUUUUUAUUUUAUUAGUAAACUUAUAAACUUUUAAUUUUAGCAAUUUUUUUUCUUAACUUUAUCAACUACUCUAAUAGACUUCUUUGCUCAAUUAGAAUUACUAAUUAUGCAGUCCUUUUGGUUUUCAUAGUUGGCAUAAAACCAAAUUAAAUAAAGUUUUAAGAUACAAAAAAAUUUACUUUUUUUAUUCUAAUGUAUAAAGGUUACAUAAGAAGCAAUGGUGCAAAUUAAAAAAUAAGGGUAAACUUUAAAUAUCACCCCUUUGAUUUCACACUUUCUUAUUUUACUAUCCUGUGGUUUAAAGUGUAUCAAUUUAGUACUCUAUAGUUUCAAAUUUUUUUUUUUCGUCAACUCUUCCGUUAGUAUUUUAUUAAAUUAUAUACAAAAAAUUUCAGAUACCCCACUUAGGUUAUCGAAUAUUCACUUUAGUAGGCAUCUUUUAGUUUUAAUUUUGUCAUUGAUUUAACGAAAAAAAAAAUAGUGGAGUGAAUAAUAAAAAAAAAAGAUAAAACUACCGGUUACUAAAUUUAUAUAUUUUAAAUCACAUAAUGAUACUAAAAUAUAAAAAUACGAAUGGUAUUUGAAGAUUUUCUAAAAAAAAAAUAAAGGCCAAUUUGCAUAAAAAAAUCCCUUACUUGACUUUUGCAAAACCGCGCGCCACCUUUUUCGCUUUACGCAGAUUCGUGUCCACUUUUCAGCAAACUGACCAAAAUACCUUUUUUACUUUUUCUCUUCCUACUUCUCCUCCUCUUCGUUUCUCGUCCUUCUUUUUUUUCUCGCCGGCAGACGCGGAGGCGAAACGGUCCGUCUCACCUCUCACACCUCAUUCGCCUAGCCCUCGCCCUCUCGCCAUCCGCCCCUUGCCCUCCCGUCCAACAGACCCCCCACUUCCUCGCCUCCACCCCCCAAAGGCCGCCACGACUUUUUUUUUUUUUUUGGCUUUUUUUCUUUCUUUAUCUUCUCCGACCUCUCCAACGUCUCCGACGACGAUGCUUCUCUCGUCCUUCUCAUUCUUCCCGCCCUCUCAUCUCUCCCUCCCAUCAUUCCUCCUGCCGCCUCCGACGACAUGCUAUCUCGCCGGCGCCGACGUCGACACCGUAGAGGUCACUCUGCGGCGUUACAGGCACGACGCGGGGUCUUAGCGGUGUCGCGCGGCGCACCGUGGCUGUUGCAGAGAAGCGGUGACAAAAAAAUUAAUAGAAAAACAAAAAAAAAAAUAAAGAUAAAAAAUUAUAUAAAAAAGAAGAUGAACAUCAAAUGUAUCGUAACCUGCAAAAAAAUUAGUAAGUUGUACUAUUUAAGAUGUACAACUGCAGUUAAGAUGAACGAACACACUCUUUAAACGAAAUAACACUCUUUGAAAAAAUUUUCACACUAUUUCUCUUCUUAUACACCUUCAGAUUAAACUGCACCAUUAUAUAAAGUUACACUCUAUUAAACAAAAGUUGCACUGUCUCUCCCUCUUUUGUACUAUUUCCUCUGUAAACUAUUUUUUAUCUCUAAACCUGACACCUUUAAGAGAUAAUUUAGUACUGUUCUCCCUCUUAUUGCACAAUUUCUGUGUAAUAAUAGAGGAAAAUAGGGCAACAAGAGAAAAACGUGCAAGAGAGAAAAAACGCACGUUUUAAAGAGAUAAUAUAUCUUUUCCUCCCUCUUGUUGCAUCCAUUUCUUGUAAACAAGAAGGAAAAUAGUGCAACAAGUAAGGAGAAACUGCACCUGUUCUUUAAGAGAUAUAAUCAACUGUUUCUUCUCUUGUUGCACUGUUUUCUCCUUGUGCAACCAUUUUUUGUGUAACAAUAGUGAAAAUAGUAAAACAAGAGGAGAACAAUCAAUAAGAGGAAAAACAUGCAAUAAGAGGAAGAACUGAACCCUUUUAAGAAAGAUAUUAUCACUGUUUCCCCUCUUGUGCACUGUUUCUCCUCUUUUUGUGCAGCCAGUUUCUGUAUAAAUAAGAGGCAGAAAGUACGUGCAAACAGAAGAAACAGUGCAACGAAGAGGAAAACAGUAUAAAUACUAUCAACUUAAAAGGAUCAGUUAAAAUAAAAAAUAGUAUAAUUUUCGUUCAAAUAUCAUAAUUUUUAUCUUAAAGCAGCAAGUUUACUACUUAAUAGUGCACUUUAAUUUUUUUGUAAUUAAGAGUAAUUUAUUUCAUCCUUCUUUAUAUAAUCCUUUAUCUUUAUUUUUUUACUUUUUCUAAUAAUUUUUUUUCACCUCUCUGCCAACAGCUACGCCGCGCGUGACGCGCCGGUGACGACGCCUGCUAAGGACCCCCCGUCACGGCUGAUACGCGCGUGACCUCUACGGUCGUGACGUCGCGCGCGGCGAAAUAAAUCGUCGUCGAGGUGGCAGAAAAUGAAGGAGAGGGAGAGAUGAGAAGGGCGGGGAAGGGCGAGAGGCGUCGUCGUCGGAGACGGUGGAGAAGAGUCGGAGAAAAAAAGAAAAGAAAAAAGCAAAAAAAAAAAAAGUCGCGGCGCGGUUUUAACGGGGUCGGAGGCGAGGAAGGUGGGGGGUGCAUGGACGAGGGCAAGGGCGAGGGCGAGAAUAUGAGGGUGAGAGGCGAGACGGACCGUUUCUGCCUCCGCUCCGCCUCCGCUCUACUGGCGAGAAAAAAAAAAGAACGAGAGAAACGAAGAAGAGAGAGAAAGAGGAAAGAGAAAAAGUAAUAAGGGUAUUUUGGUCAGUUUGCUGAAAAAGCGGACCGAAUCUGCAAAAAUAAAAAAGGUGACCCGAUUUUGCAAAAGCCUAAAAUAGGUGGAUUUUUUAUGCAAAUUGGCCAAAAAUAAAACGUGAGUUCUUAAAAUACAAUGCGCGUACGUGCACGUGCAUGCAUGCCCACGCAUUAUGUCCCCAUGAUAGGGAGCACAGCGUUGCCAAUUGAUAACGACUCUCCACAUGGCCCAAUUGAAAAGCGACACGUGUCACAAACAACUCCCAUGCACGUGCGGCGGCGCCGGUAAAAGAAAAAAUAAGGGUGAAAAAAUUGCACGAGGACCAAUUCGGCAUAUUAUGUACUAAUAAUAAAAAUGAGCUGUGAACUUCAAAAAGUAAAUAUUUAAUUUGUAAAAAUAAGUUGGUAUAUAUCCAAAAAUUAUAUCUUUUGAUAUGCCGUCGUUUUGAUUGUGGUAGAACGCAUCCAAUGAGCUAGCCCCAGAUGUUAAAUUAGAAAUACCUAUCAUAAAUUUUUUUAAAAAAAUUUUAGGUUAUGGUGUACGUGAUGAAGUUGUACACCAGGUGCAGGGAGUAGUUUCCUAAAAAGCAUGUGUAAACAUGACGAAGCAAAAGUCAAAUGUUUUAUACAUGUUCUUUUUAAAGGGAUUAUUAUAUUAAUUAAGUCAAAGAGUUCAGUCAAAUACCAAAGAUGAGACUUUCACCUGAAGCAAAGUAGUAAGAUACAAAUUAAAUAAUAAGGCCACUAUUUAAUAAUUGUCGUUGCAAAUUGCUUUGAUUAAAUUAAGCUCCACCAUCACUACUAAUUGAAUACAUUAAAUAAUAAUUAAGUGUUUCCAUAUCAUUUUACUAUUUUUAAUUUACUUAGGUAAAGUAUUCGCAGCUAAACCUUGCCAUUUGAAACUAAUUUUCGCUAUAAAUUAAGUCGGUCAAAUUUCCUGAUUUGUCUUUCAUACAUCUGUGCACACCAUGCGUAUGUAUGUUCUUAAUUCAUCUCACAUUUUAAAUCUAACUAUACAAAUUUUAAUAAUAAAGAAAAACUUGAAAAUUAAUAGGCGAGUUGUGGAGAUUAAACUAUCAGGAAUGCGUGGUGCGUGCAUGGAAGCAAAAAUUUAUCAAAAUUACAGAGCGACAUGUAGUCAAAUUAAAUGCGUCAAACGCGUAGAUAAAUUUUUAAAGGGAAUAAUUUUAAGUCAAAGGUUUCAAGAAGGGUUCAUAGUAUACAGUGUGAAGAAACCAAACUUAAUUUCAAAGCAUCAUCCUACUAAAUAGGAAUUAGAUCCUACGUACAUAGAUGAUCAGCUCUCUCUCUUGAUUAUAAAAUAGUAUGUACAAAAUAGUGCUUACACUUUAACAAAACAAACAAGCAAACAAUUAUUUCGCAUAAUAGAACUGUAUUUCAACAGCUAAUUUAUAUUGAACCGAACCCUACUUAAUUACUUUCUUAGGCUACAAUUAAACCAAUCGAUCCAACUUGGUAAAAAAAAAAUUCCUACUUAUGAUGAGGCGGCGUCGGGGGGCAAAUUCCGGGAGGACUACGGCCGGAAUGGUUGCUGCAGUCAGAAGCUUUCGCCGGCGGAACGGGCCCUCUAACACUUAUAACCUGCAGCAAGAACCUGCUGCGAAAUCCCGCUGCGGCCGUCAAAGGCAGCAGAUUUGCUUCUGCUGUGGCAAACCUCUUCGCUGCAUCGACCGUCGAAGCCGGUUUCGCUUCUGCGACGGCAAAACGCUUCUCUCCGUCGACCGCUAAAGGCGUCUUGUUUAUAUUGGCGGUCGGAAAAGAGUGCUGGACUAAUAUUAUGAUAGAGGAGAGAAAGGCCAUUAUAGUUAGGGUGAGGAGGCAUGAGGAAUAUAGGUUUGAGAAACGACGACCCAUGGGGUGCAAGUUGGAGGAGAACACAAGAAGUGGAAGGUGUAGUAGUAGUACUAGCUCGUAAGUUGAAGGGACUUCAAUUGUGAAGGAUUUAUAUAUAGAAGAGGCUCUCCAUGACUCAGUCAUCUAAUUAAUUUGGUAUCGUAUUUGUUUUAUUUUUUUUAAUAAAAUUUUAUAUAUCGAAAAUCAUAGAUGUGAACGGUAGAUUAUUUGCAAUGUUUUCAUCUAAAUUUUUCAUUUUUUAUUACCGAAUAAAAAUGUGAAUGAAAGCCUCUUUUUUUUUUUAACUCAGUUUGACCGUUGCAAGUUGAACUGCAUGUUUCGUUUCAUUUUUCUAAGUAGAUGACGUUAGGUUCACGCAAUAACUGACGUAUAUAUAAUACAAUUGAUCAUUACUCGCUGUGAUGGGUGUAUGUACUAAUAAUCUCCAACCCCAUUGAUUACUUAAUUGAUUUGCAUAUUCUUAUAAUAUAUACUAAUCUUUUCACCAUUAAGGAAUGGUGUCUUUAGAUGUAUUCAUAAUACUCUUUUCUUUCUUUUUUUUCUUUUUUGAGGGAAAACAUGCCUGAGACGAAUUUUAUUUAAUUAAUUAAUAGAUACAGGCUCAAAAAAUUCAUCAAUAGAAGACCAAAAAGAAAUUUUUUUUUGCUAGUGAGUUCCCAAGUGGCCAAGCGAUCCACGACUACAGAAUUCUAAGAAAAUCUCGAAUUUCAAUCUAAAACAGAAGCAUUUGAAUCUUUCUGUAAAAGUCCACAACUCCGUGAUUCUUGUCUGAGCUUCGGGUAUUAGCGAAUUUGAAUGAUAACUCAUGAGAUGCAAAGUUUUGAUGAUGGAUACUGAAUAUGAGAAUAUAUAAAAGUUUCUUCGGAAUACAUUUGCAAAAUUAAGAAUCUCUGUCACUUGAGAGAUUGCACCAAUUUCCACCGAGCAAGCAUCGUGGACCGCCUUUAUUGCGUCAGAUAUACAUGCGAUGAUUCAUAACACAUUCGGCCAAAUUUGGUUUUGGAAUAAAUAGAGAACAGCAGCUUCUGUUCUUCUUAAUGAAUUAUCCACGGUGCCAAGUUCUACCUCAAUUUAGUAAGAAAAAAUAUAACACUUUUCAUCUCCCUAAAAUAAUAUAUUUUCAACUUGUGGUCUUACAAGUACUGGCUACACAAAAAGGCAGGUGGAUGAUCUAUGUACUGCACCAAGUUCCUACCUCAAUUUAGUACUCCAAUAGCUAGGGGUGGAAACGAGCCGAGCUCGAGCGAGCUUAUGUCAGCUCAAAUUCGGCUUGAAAUUAAUUUCGAGCCUAAAUCUAGGCUCAAGCUCGGCUUGAAAUUAAUUCGAGCCGAGCUCGAGCGAGCCUAAUUUCCAGUCGAGCCGAGCUCGAGCUCUAAACGAGCCGAUUGAAAUUCUCGACAUUAUAUAAUCAAUAGUUUAUUUUUUAUAGAACAUUACCUAUAAUUUGAUGCAAUAUGUCCAAUAGUUCAAAAUACAAAAUAAUUGCAAGAAAUGUGAGCUAGGGUGACUGUCUGACUGGGUGAGUCUUGAUAAGAGAGAACGAGAGGAAGAUGAAGGAGAGAGGGGGGAUAUUAGGAUUUGAAAAUUGAAUGGAUCAUAUUUUAUGUUAUGUGCGAAUAGUGAAAGUCUGAAGAGAGGUUGUGUAUGCUAAUUUUAGUUUGCCUCAAUGCUGACGUUCCACUGUAUUUUAUCGCCAACAAUAAGGCAUCCCAAAUCUAAAUUAAAACCUUAUAUAUAAUUAAAAUACAUAAUAUAAUAUUUAGAUGAGCCAUAUGUAUCGUAACCACCGACUUCUGGCUUCCAGCUCGUUUUCGACGUUGCCGACUUUCGAAUCGUGUUCGAUCGCUCAUUAAACUUAUCUAGAGUAUUUAAGUACCUAGAAAAUAAAUUUUAUGAUUAUCACAAUCAUUUGCCUAGUGAUCACGAAGUGCUCAAUCAAACGGUCCCUGCAAAAUAAAAUAUCUUACAAAAAUGUUAAUAAUAUACAUUAAUAUUUUAAAUCAAAGUAUUAUUGUUUAUAUAUAUAAAGAAUUUUCUAUCAAAAUUUCACGUUGAUUGGAUUUAUAUUGUCUCUACACCGUUAAACUUGCAACGCACACAUACGGCCAUCAAAUUGUUAUUUUGACCCAUUCGCGAUCACUAGGCAAAUUAUUAUCGAAAUAAGAAUAAAUAUUUAUUUCUAGGCUACUCUCAAAUACUCUACAUCUAAGUUUAACGAGCGCACAUUCAUUCAAUAGUCGCAACAUCGAAAACACGAGCACGAAUGUCUCUGUGCUUCCUAAGCCAUAGAGCCUCACUCAAUAUAUAAUAAUAAUAUACAAUAUAAUAUAUAUAAUAUAUUCGGAGCUUUUCGAGCAUAGAUUUCAACGAGCUGAGUAUAUAUCAACUCGCGCUUGAAAUAAUUCGAAGCCUUUUACUUUUGUUCAAGCUCGCCUCAUUUAAUUUCGAUCGGACUCGACAGACCGAAUAUCGAGCCGAACACGAGUCGAACGCGAGCCGGCUCGCUCGUUUGCCCCUACCUAAUAGCGAAUAUCGUGAAAUAGAGCUGAAAACUAUAAACAUAGUCUUCAGUAGAUAAGACCUCUACGCAAAUAAAAAAAAAGCUCGACCUAACUAGAUCUCUUUUCGGACUUCCACGAGAAACUAGGCUUUAGCUUUUAAAAUUUGAUACAAAAUUUUUAAAAUUUUAAAAUUCAGUUUAGUAUAUUAAUAUAUAUAUAUAUAUAUAAUUAUAUUUAUAUUUAUUAUAUUAUAUAUUAUAUAUUUAAAUUCUAUCCAAUAAUAUUUUAAAUAAAUUUUAUAAAUUUCUAUAAUUUUAUUCAAGUAAUUUUUAAAGUUUUUAAGUUUCAUUUUUCAAAAAAAUUAAAAUUUUAAUUCUUUUCCACCAUAAUACCUUCUAAUAUUUAAAAACAUUUAGAAAAUAUUUUUACUUUUUAAAUUUUUAAAUAUAAAAAUUUUAAAACCUAAAAUAUAAAAAAAAUACUAAGUCAAUACGGGCCCGGCCCGGCCCGAUUUAGUCCAUGCUAUUUGGGCCCAUCGGAUACAAGUUCAAAAAAUUCUGCUCAAUUUGAAUCUACUGCAGAGCCUUGCCGGGGCUAGUCCUCAGCCGGUAUCGGUCCAAAAAAUGUUUGUCGUGCCAAUCCAGUACAGCCCACAUUACAUUCCUACAUGCAAUUCCACAUAUAAUCUAAAAAAAAAAAAAAAAAAUCUAAUAUAUAUUUAAGCCCAUCUAAAAUGUAGCAGUCUACUAUCUAGUAAUGAUUUGGUAAUUAAAUACGGAAUUACUAUUAAAGGCCUAAAUUAUUACCCUUUGUUGUGUACGAUGAGCUGGUAGAAAAAUCGAAACUAAUUUUUUUAUUUUUUUAUUUUUUAGAGUUUAGAAAUUUAUAUUUCCCCAUUUGAGUCAAAAUAAAAUUAAAAUUUAUAUCUUUUAUUUGUUAUCUGACUUGUCGAUAUAAAUUUAAGGUUGAGGCCGCUCAAGUGGAGAAAACAAUGACUAGCGCUUUGAUGGAUGCGGAGGAGAAAUUUUGCACACCAAACUCGACCCAACAAAGCGAAUGGAGCAUAACGUGUCACGUGGAAAAUGUAGCAUAAUUUUAUAUACUUUUAGAAGCAUAGAGGCUUUUAUUCUAUAAAGUUGUUUUUCAUAGGAGGAAUUCUGAAUCGAUAAUCGAUACGGUUAAAUUUGAUUUAGAGUAUUUGAAUUAUUUAUAAACAGAAUUAUACAAAUUUUAAAAAUUAUUUACUUACGAAUCAAAGAGUUGCGAAAUCCACAAUUUUUGAUGACUUACAUGAGUGGUUUGCUCCUUCAUUGAUGCAAAGCAAUUCAAACAGCUACAAUUCUUUCUAUUGUCUACAUAAUGUUUGAUAACUCCAAUCUAUCAUUAGUAAAGAAUGUCAAACCUCUAUUUUUACAAAAUUAUUUAUUUUCAAUCGUUUUUUUUUUUUAAACUCUUUGGUAGGCUUGAUAAUUAUUUUUAAACAUUACAAAGUUCUAUUUUUUAACAUUUCAAACCGUCUAAGCCAAUUUCAAUGUUAUUCAUUAUCAAUUUGGAAUUCUGAUCAUUGAAAACGACUUGAUAGGAUAAGUGCCGUCGUUUAUCGUAUACUUUUGUGUGUUUUUGUAAUUCCACGAGUCAGGUUCACUUUUUCCAGAAAUGCUCAAAGUGCCCUGAACUAUAUAUAUUAUAAUUAUUGAUUGAAAUUUAAUGCGUUCUUGGCUAAUAUUUGAUCUAGCAAUUUAAAAAUUGAUGGACUAAAUGUAACAGUGGUCACUAACUAUUUUCCUAAAUUAAAUAGUUGUGAUGCAUGUACACUUUAAGUAAAUUGGUUGUCUUAUUUCUAAUAGCUCGAGUUAUUGGACAUUAUGGUUAGCGCUGACGAUCCAAUAACAAUCUGUGUAGGUUUAGUGAGGGAAUUUUGGCAGGUAGGUCAGCAUCCAGCCUACAUAACGAAGGUCAGAUCGGGUUAAGUUAUAAUUGAGAUCUGUUGACGUUUGUGGAAUUGUAGUUGGCGCCGACGAUCCAACAAAUUGAUGCACUAGGUCUACACAAUUUUCUUCGCGUUCUCUCCACCUUUUCUUCAGAGUGGAGAGAGAGUGUGUAUAAUAUAUCCAUGACAUCAAGGCUCAUACAUUUCAAAAGAGGAAAGAUGCAUUUGCACAUAAGCCCCUCUCUUUCUAAAAAAUUAAGUAGUAGCUCAGCUCGAUCGGUUUAUUUGAUAUCAAUUUAAUUUUAAAAUUUAAACAUAUAUAAGACCAUGUAGAACUCGUGAUUUAUAUCAAAAUCUUUAGUUUAUUUGCUAAUUAAAUUAAAGGACAUUUUUGCAUGAAUAUUUCGCCAGGAUUAACAUAACAUCAAAUUUGUUACGACUUUAACCCUUUUUUUUGUGGAAACUCUUCUAAUCAUAUAUAUAUUUUUUUAUAAUUUAGUCACUAUAAUCAUUUUUAUUAAAAAUUUUGUUGGAUUUAAAUGUUAUACUAAUAGCCUUUAGUCUUUAACUAUUCCGGCUUCAUUCACUAAGGUAUGAUUAAAACUAUUAAAUUUGAUUAAAUUAUCAUUAAAUUUUGAUAAAAUUUUUAAUUUAUUCGGCUAAAACUCUACUAGUUUUUAAAAAUAAAGAUUUAAAGAGAUUUUAAUUAAAAAAGUUAAAGUUGAAUUUGCUAAAGUCGCUUGGUUCCACAUGCAUAGGAGGACAAUGUUGUCUCUUAAUUAAGAGAUUCAUUACAAUGAAAAGAUAUUCAUUACAAUCAAAAUAAACUAAGGAGUCAAACAAGUUUAUAUCAUAUAUAUUAUUUCACGGCACCAACGCAGAUAAACGAAAAAAUCAAACAAGUUUACUUAGAAAACCAUGUAUAGAUAUAUAUUCAAUACAUCACAAUUCAUUGUAAUGAAAGUAAACUAAGGAGUCAAAAAAGUUUACAUAUAUAGAAUGUUGGGGAAUAUGAAUUAAUGGAGAUCAAGUAAAUUAUGAUCUUGAGGCGUGUAAGUUCACUUUCUUUAAGGUGAUAUUUACUCCCACUCGAAUGUAUGCUGUCUGGUUACCAGCAGAUCACCUUCAAGAUACAACAAAAUCGGCGAAAAACUACAAACAACACUUUUAAAGACUUUCACUUAAGAACUUCCUUUUUAAGAAUCAAUAUGAAAAAUUAGGAAGGAGAAAAAAUUGAUUAUAUUACUCUUGAAACCUUUAAACAUCUCCUAUUUAUAGGAGAUGAAUGAUUAUGAUGAAAGGACACAACUUUUAAAGUUAUAUUAUUUCACAAAAGGACAUAUCCUUUCACAAAAAAUUUAUUUCUUCGUAAAAAUAACAUAUCUUUUCGUGACGAGACAUAUCUUUACAUCUAAUGAAAAAACAAAUUUUUUCAUAAGAAUAACUACUUUAUAAAGUUUAUGAAGAGACAUAACUAUUCACUAAUCUCACUUCCGUUAUUAUAAUCUACACUAAUCUCACUUCCGCUAUUAUAAUCUACACUAACGUAGAAAACCAUAUGUAGAUUCCAUGAGACAACAAUUCGUUAUGAUGAAAAAAAAAAAAAGAGUUAAACAAGUUUACAUAGAAAACCAUAUAUAUGUAUAUAUAGAUUUCAUGACAUCACAAUCCACUGCAAUGAAAAUAAACCAAGGAGUCAAACAAGUUUACAUUAAAAAAACCAUAUAAAUUAAGAUUUAAUGACUCCACACGCUUCAUUACAAUAAAAAUAAAACGAGGAGUAAACAACUUUACAUAGAAAACCAUAUAAAGAUUCCAUCACUCCAAAAUAAACUAAGAAGUCAAAGAAUAAAAGUAAAUGAAUCUACCUAAACUGUACUUUGAGCUUAUUUUUCAUCACUUUUUACUUAAUCAAUUUGAUGCGUAACGCAAUAUCAUAUCAACCGUACAUAUAUUGAUCCCCUCCUCUCUUUCAAAUGAUCGUGAACUAACCAUUUCUUUGUUUUUUUUACACUGCUUAGAUAUUCUAAAUAAAUUCUCUACAUUUUUUUUUUCACCAAAAUAGAAAUAUAUUUCACCUCUCCAAAGCAAGAAUGUUUUAUAGAUGUGAACUUAAUACAUGUGACCAGUGAAGGACAAGUCAAAACAGUGAUUAUUCUUAUAUCAUUAUUUGCAACAGUACAUAAAAUGCCAAAGAAAGAAACAAAAUUGUGGUCAAAUGUGCUAUCACCACGCAAUCACCAGACAUUCCUGUUUCUUUUUAUUACUUUAUCUACAGCAUGGCACCAGCACCUAAUUUAUUAUAGGAAAAACUUCAAAUACCCUCUUAUGAUUUCACUUUUUCUCGUUUAAGUAUCAUGUGGUUUAAAGUAUAUCAAGUUAGUACUUUAUGGUUUUGCACUUUUUCACUUUAGUACCUUAUAGUUUAAAGUGUAUCAAGUUAGUACCUUGUGGUUUCGUACUUUUUUAUUUUAGCACCCUAUAGUUUUAUUAAACCAUAAGAUACUAACAUGAUACAAAAAUAAAACCACAAAGUACUAACUUUUAACAAAAAUAAAAUCACAGAAUAUUAACUUGAUAUAUUUUAAACUACAGAAUACUAAAGUGAGAAAAUAUAAAACUAUAUGGUACUAAUUUAAUACAUUUUAAAUUAUAAAUUACUAAAAUAAAAAAGUACAAAACUAUAGCGGGGUUCUUGAAGCUCUUCCUUUAUUGUACAUCAUUUGCUGGAUAAAUUAUUAAUACAUAAACUCCCACAAAAGAAACUGGUACAGUGUGAAAUCACGUGAUAAAACUACCAAACGGUUCGUACUUCUUUUUAUUAUUAUAUUAUAUUAUUAUAUCAGCAGCAGCAUCUUCAUCUAAUUUAUACAAAAUUAAUUAUAUAUAUAUAUAUAUAUAUAUAUGCAAGGAUACAUGGUACGUACGUAUUUAUUUAUAAACUUAUGAAUUGGGAUCCUGAAGUUUCCUGGCUCGACACGUGGCGGUGGGAGCGAGUGGCGCGAGCACGGGUGCGAGCAGAGCGGGCGGGGCGCGAAAAUAGAGUCGGCUGGCGAGUGGGGGCGGCGGCGAGCGCCGCAGGGGGCGCAGGCAUGCGCGAAGACUCGUGGGCGCAAGCGUGGGGUGGGUGCGGGCGGCGCGCGUGGCGUGCGGGUGGCGCGAGCAGGCGCGGCGGGCGAGCCGGCGGUGCAGGCGCGAGCUCGGCGCGGGCGGAGCCGAAAAAAAAAAAAAACUACAGUAAACAAAAAGACGGGCUCACUUCCCUUUUUGCGCGCGUCCACGAGGUGAGACUCACUGGUGACCACCCGAGGAGAGAGACAGAGCAGUGGACCUCUCUCUCCCUCUUUGAGAUUUAUAUAUAUAUAUAUAUAAUAUAUAUAAAUUUUAAUAUUUUAUUUAUAAAUAUAUAAUAAUUUAUUUUGAGAAUCAAGAGAGAUAAUAUUUUACUUUAGUCAAUUUUUUAUUUAUAAUACACAGAUAAUAAUAAAAAAUAAUUACGUAUUUUUUUAAUAUUACAAUAGCUUUUUUAUUUAUUUUAAACUGGUUUAUUUAUUUUAGACCACUCCUAUCUCUCCUCUUUUUUGAUUUUUGUUUUUAUUUUUUACACCUUCUUAUUUUAAGUGUUAUUGCCCACAUACAAAAAAAAUGAAAUUUAAAUUUAAAUAAUUUAAUUAAUUUAUUAUUAAUAAUUUUUGAAUGUGUUGCUUAGCUUAUAAUAUUUAGUUAGUAUAUUUUAUUAAUGUUAUAAUUAAAUAUAUUUUAAAAAACUUAAUUAUGAUGUGUUUUUUUAUAAAAUAAUUAUUUUAUAUCUAAAUAAUUAUAAAAUUAAAAUUAAUAUUUAAUACAUACAAUCUAAAAUAUUUAAAAAUUAGACAUAAAUAAUUAUAUAUUUUAAAGUUUUAUUAUAAUUAAAACACAAACUUAUGAAUCCACAAUCUGACCCGAACGGAUGUUAAGAUCAACAUGAUUGUUUGUAAUCAAAACUUGUAUAUCUGAUACAAUUGAUCGCAUGUGAAAAUGUCUCUAAAACUUUCUUAUUUAAUUAACUAAAACAUAUUGUUAUUUACUUUAUAAAAAAUAUAUUUAAUUAUUUAUUAAUUAUUUAUAAAGAAGAUAAAUAAAUUCGUUGCGUAGCACGGGUUACUUAACUAGUACAAGUAAAGAGAGACACACACAAAUAAAGAAAAAAGAAAACAAUAUUCAAAAAAAAAAUGUGGGGCUCUGGUAGCUCGUACGUGCGAACGCGCCGACCUAAUUUUAUCUCCUAACAAUCAAAUAAUUAGAAAAAAAUGUACAGAGGCCGCUUGAUCUUUAACUCUUUUAUUAAAAAAAAUAAAUUUUUUAAAUUUCAACAACUAAAUUUUUAUAUUUUAUUUGAUAGUUUAAUAGAUCUUUUUUAAAUUUAAAUUACUGUGUGUGUGUUGUCUUUUAAAUAAGUAAAUAUUCUUUUUAGUCAAAAUUUGAUGAUAUAAUUUAAAUUACUGUGUGUGUGUUGUCUUUUAAAUAAGUAAAUAUUCUUUUUUGCCUAAUAUUCUUUUCCUAACUUAUAUCAAAUACUUCAAUAUAGGCUUCUUUGCUUAAUUAGGAUUACUAAUUAUGAAGUCAUUUUGGUUUCAUGUUUUGCAUAAAAUAUACCAAGUAAAGUUUUAAAAUAAAAGAAAAUUUAUUUUUUUAUUCUAAUAUAUAGAGGUUAAGGAGCAAGUGCACGCAUGCCACGCAUUUUGUCCCAAAAGGGCCCAAUUGAAAAGCAACGCGUGUCACCAACAGCUCCCACGUGCGGUGGCUGUGGUUAAAAAAGUCAAAAAAGAAAGGCCGAGAACCUUUCCUCCGUACGUGUAUAUAUAUACCUGUGCUUAUCAUCGUGCAUGUGUUAUAUACUGUAUGUUUUUAUUGCAACUCACAUUUUAAAUCUAACUAUACAAAUUUUAGUAAUAUAGAAAAACUUGUGAGGUAAAUUAUUAGGCAAGCCGUCGAGAUUAGACUAUCAGGAAUGCAUGGUGCAUGGAAGCAAUAAUUAAUCAAAAUUACUGAAUGACAUGUACUCAAAUUAAAUGCAUCGAGAGCUUAGAUAUAUAGAUUUUUAAAAAUCGAUUGGAAAAUCAUUUUCAAAUGAUCUAAAGUUCAGAUCAGUUCUGUACAUUUUCACCUUUCUUUUCUCUUUGCUCUCUCUCUAGAUCUCUCUCCCUCUCUUUGUAUUUUCUUGCAUAUAUUCUCCUAACACCAAAUCCGAAAAAGGUCCAAAGCCUCGCAUAUCAUAUCGAGUAAAAGAACAAAUGCAUUCAGUGUAAAACAAAAUACUUCUUUUGCUCUAAAUUAAGGACAAAUAAAAAAAAUUGGUGAUAGUAGAAAGAUAUAUUUGAAAGGAUAAAAUAAUAAUUUCACAGAGAUAACGGUUGCUCCUAUCAAAAUUUAUUUUUGGGGGUAUAUUUUAAAGAAUUUGGAAUCUUAAAAAAAUAUUUUUAAUAUUAGCUUUUUAAGAAGAAUCAAUAAGAAAGUCGAAAAUUUUUCAGGAGUAUAUAAGCAAUUACCCGGAAAGGGUUCAUAGUAUAGUGCGAAGAAACUAAACUUAAUUUUAAAGCAUCAUCCUACUGAAUACGAAUUAGAUCCUACAAAGAUGAGCUCUCUCUUGAUUAUAAAACAGUACAAAAAUAGUGCUUACACUUUAACAAAACAAACAAACAAACAAUUAUUUCACCUAAAUUAAUAGAACUGUAUGUAUUUCAACAGGUAAUUAAUUUAUAUUGAGCAGAACCCUAGCUACUUAAUUACUUUCUUAGCCUACAAACCAACUUGGUAAAAAAAAAUUCCUACUUAUGAUGAGGAGGUAUCGGGGGGCAGAUUCCGGGAGGACUUGGGCCGGAAUGGUUGCUGCAGUCAGAAGCUUUCGCCGGCGGAACGGGCCCUCUAAUACUUAUAACCUGCAGCAAGAACCUGCUGCGAAAUCCCGCUGCGGCCGUCAAAGGCAGCAGAUUUGCUUCUGCUGUGGCAAACCUCCUCGCCGCAUCGACUGUCGAAGCCGGUUUCGCUUCUGCGACGGCAAAACGCUUCUCUCCGUCGACCGCUAAAGGCGUCUUGUUUAUAUUGGCGGUCGGAAAAGAGUGCUGGACUAAUAUUAUGAUAGAGGAGAGAAAGGCCAUUAUAGUUAGGGUGAGGAGGCAUGAGGAAUAUAGGUUUGAGAAACGACGACCCAUGGGGUGCAAGUUGGAGGAGAACACAAGAAGUGGAAGGUGGAGUAGUACUAGCUCGUAAGUUCCAGGGACUUCAAUUGUGAAGGAUUUAUAUAUAUAUAGAAGAAGGUCUCCAUGACUCAGUCAUCAUGCAUGCACCUUAUUGCGUCAGCGAUGAUUCAUACUUUAAUGAAUUAUUCUAAAGGGAAAAAUAACCAUUUAAGAGAAAUAAAUUAUUAUUCUUAAUUACCUCCCUACAUAUUGAGUUGCUGCUCUUGCUUUUUAUCCCUCCUUUUCUCCGUCCCUUGAAACGACAAUUGGCUUAUUAUAUUAUUAUUUUUAUACACUAUCUAUUUAACUAAUUAACUUUGUAAAUAAUUUUCUAAAUAAUUAACUAUCUAAAUUUAUAUAUCAUUCACAAUUAACCUGCAGCUAAUCAACUAACUAAUAUUUAUUUUUAUAUAUUAUUCAUAGUUAAUUAACUGUGAAUUAAUUAUUUUUAAGAAUAGAACUAAUAAUUGAUUAAUUAGUAAGAUAAUAACAUACCGACUAAUUAACAUUCCUCUCCGUUAAUUUAUAUUCGUUAAUUGUUAAUUGUCUAACUGAUUAAUUUAAUAGUUUGCUGGUAAACUAAAUUGGUAAUUAAUUGACGACUUGGAUUUAUUCUAACUAAUUCACUGAUUAAUUUCUUAAAUACUGUUUACUAAUAAUUUUUUUGUAGGCAAUCUAUAUUUUAUAUUAUAAUUCCUCUUUAUUCCCACAAUUAAUUCUAAUUUAAUUAUCCAAAAGUUAGUUCUUUUAUUCUAAAAAAUAAUUGGGUUUACACCCAAACAUAAAAUUAAUUAUAUCCUCUAUUUAUUUCUAUAGUUAUGCCUAUCUAAGGGUGGCAAUCCAGCUUGCUGUUCGCGCUCGUAUUCGAUCGAUCAGCUCGAAAUGAGCUCUAAAUCGAAUCACUCGUUUAGUGAACAAGUCGAACACGGGCUGAAUUUUUCAGCUCGUUAAUAAAUGAGCCGAACACGAGAGCCGGCAUCAACUUGCUUGUGUUCGGCUCGAUAACAGCUCGAAAUACAUAUAUUUUAUAUUUAUAUAAUUUAUAUAAUUUAUAUUUAUAUAUAUCAAUAAAUAAUUAUAUAUAUAAUAUAUAUUUUUAUUAUUUGAUUUUUAGUAAAAGAAAUAUAAAGCCGAGCUCAAUUAUAAAAAAAUUUAUUUAUAUGAAAAGUUUCAAUUAUUAGAUCAAAAUUUAAUGGAUAAGAUUUUAUAAAUUUAUUUUUUAUAUAUAUUCAAUCUAACCCAUUUAACUUAUUAUUUGUUGGCUAGCUUGUGUUCAGCUCAUUUAUUAGCGAGCCGAACACGAGCAAUUAAUAAACGAGCCAAACAUGAGCUGAAUUUUUCGACUCCAUACUUUAAUAAGUUAGCUUGUGUUCGGCUCGUGUUCGGCUCGUUCAUGUUCGGCUCGUUGACAUUCCUAUGCAUAUCUCAGAUGUAAGAAGAUAUGCCAAAUUAAGGGUAUUGCGAUGGCCUAUAAGUAGUAAUUACAUAUAUACAAGGGUCAAAAUCACCUUAACUUUUUCAGUAGUCGACGCCCACAGAGCUCUAAUCCUCUCCACAAUUUGUCCCCCUCUUUGACUGUUUGAAUCCUGCACGACUGAUAAAAGAGUAGUAGUGUGUUUUUUUUUUUUUGAGAGGGAUAGAUAGUACGCUAUCCGUUUCAUUUAUUUUAUUUAGAAAUAAAUUUAGCUGGAAAUAUGAAUCAACUAGAAUUCGAACUUGGGUCUCGGGUACCAACUACCAAGCCCUUUGCCACUUGCUCUAGGGACGGUCGGUAGUAGUAGUGUGUUGUGUGUAUCUCGGAGUGUACUUUUGUUCUCAUUUGCCGUUUGAUAUGUGGAUGCUUAUUAUACUAAAGAUAUUGUUGAUUAUUAAUUAUUUACUAACAUUAAAUGGAUGAAAACUAGAUAAUUUUUAAAAGUAAACAGGUUGCAUCAAUUUCUAUAUUAUUUUUUAUGAUAAAAUAUUCAAAUCGGUGAUUGACGCCAUUAAAUAUAAUAUUAGACUAUUCGAACUUCCUAUGUUUCAAAUUUUAUAAAUUUUUGACAUCAUUUGCUAAGAAUAACCUAAUUUUUAUUCCCAAUAAUAACCUAAUUUUUAUUAAAAUACAAAAUUUAUUUAGGUCCUAUUUAUACCUCAACUUAUACCUAUUUCCGAAAUAAGCAGUUCUUUUACUUAUACUCGAGCCAAACGCAACCCUAUAAUUUUGAAUUUUAAAUAUAAAUCUAAAUUUAAAAUUUUAACUUACGUUGCGAAUAUAAGUCGGUUGUUUAUAAUUUUCACCUCUUUAUAUAUAAUUUAAUAAUUAAAAUUAUAAUAUUACAGUUUUAAUCUUUUAACUUUAUAGUCAAAGCUAAACAGGCGAACUGAAAAAUAACUUUUAUAAAAAUAAUAUUUUUUCUUUUUUAAAUUUCAUUGAUUUUCGAGCAAACAAACGUGCCUGAACUGCAUGCCGAAUGAAACAAGUAAGCACCGCCGACGUCUGACUCAGAUGACAGAUCCGUCUGGAAACUUUAUAUCCAUUUUAAGCAGCAGAAUUGGCUGAUUCGUUCCGAGUCCAGCUAACGAACCAAUCAGCCAUUCACACUUUAACAUGACAGCUGGUUCCAGGGAGAUCGUACUUAAUUACAUACUAAGUAAAAAAAAAAAAAAAUUCAAGUAUAUAUACAUGUAAAAAUAGGUAUUUCAUUUAUAUUUUACUCAUCCAAUAUACAAAAUUUAGGAAAAAUUUCAAAUACCUCUUUUGUGAUUUCGCACUUUCUCACUUUAGUAUCUUGUGAUUUAAAGUGUAUCAAGUUAGUACCCUGUGGUUUCGCACUCUCUUGCGUUAGUACCCUGUGGUUUAAAGUGUAUCAAGUUAGUACUCUGUGGUUUUAUUUUUGUAUCAAGUUAGUACCCUUUAGUUUUAUUUUUUUUCUUUUUAUUAUCCAUUUCGGAAUAUUUUUUUCGUUAAAUCAGUGAUAAAGUUAAAACUAAUUAAAUGGUACUAAAAUUAAUAUUCGAUAAACCUAGAUAGGAUAUCUAAAGUUUUUUUUGUAUAUAAUUUAACGAAAUAUUAAACCACAGGAUACUAAAGUGAAAAAGUGCGAAACCAUAGGAUACUAACUUGAUACACUUUAAACUACAUUGUACUAAAGUGAGAACGUGCAAAAUCACAUUGUACUAACUUGAUACAUUUUAAACCACAGAGUACUAAAAUAAGAAAAGGCAAAACCACAAGAAAAGAUUUUUGAAGUUUUUCCUAAAAUUUACUUACUAGUUACUCAACAUGCAUGGCUAGCAGAAACGUCUCACUUCAUAAAAAUAUACGAUAUCCAUUCUGAUUGAGAUGUACACUAAUUCAUAAGAUAAAUUAUACUUUUGAUCUUCAAACUAUAUAUGAGGUGGAAAGCACUUCACUUUAUUUUAUUAUAAUUUUUUACUUAAAUUACGAGGUGCAUGAUGUUUUAGUCUUCGAAUUUUAAUUAAUUAUAAUAAUUUCUGUUUCAAAUUUUAAGAUAUGUGACAUCUUAAUUUUCAAAGUUUCUAAAUUAUAAUAAUAUUCUACUUAAUAAUACAAUAAUAAUUAUUGUAUUACUUCAAUGCUAGUUGUUUUUUAAUCUUUAUUCAAAAAAUUAUAUUAUUCAACUUAAUUGUAAUAAUUUUAAAAAAUUAACCUAAGGGGCUAAGCCCUAAACCCCGCGUUCCUUAAUUCCACGGUGGGUUCUCAUGCACAUGGGAUGAACCCUCAAAUUACAGCCUAAUUUUAAGGCAUGCGUGUAAGGGAAUGCACAUUUGGCUGUACAUUGUUGUACUCUUCUCAGUACUAUUAUCCUGUGGAAACUUUAUAUAUAUAUAUAUAUAUAGAGAGAGAGAGAGAGAGAGAGAGAGAGAGAGAGAGAGAGAGAGAGCUAGUCUCCUAUACUAUUUAUAAUAACGGGCCUCUGGUAUUAUAGUCCCAUUUUCGAUUUUAGGGUGUUCAAAUCAACGAUACAUAUCGUUAAAACUGAUUUAGGGUAUUUAAAGUUUUUAGAAAUAAAAUUUUAUAUUUUUUCGACAUAGUUUACUUUAUGAUCAAAUCAUUUCAAAAUUGUCAAUUUUCAAUGGCUACUAUAGCGAGUUUAGAGUUUAACGGUGUAGAAGAAUCUAAAUUUCUUUAAAUUUUGAUAGAAAACACUUUAAACUAUCUAGAUUAAGGUUAACAUUCUUAAUCUUGAAUUUAAAAGUCCUAUACUCAAAUUUUAAAGAUUAUUCGAUUUCCACCGUCCAUUUUGACAUAAUUUAUUUACUAAGUAAACGAUGUCGAAAAAAACUAAAAUUUUUUUCUAAGAACUUCAUAUACCAUAGAUCAUAUUUAAUGAUGUGGAUCGUUAAUUUGAACAUCACAAGAUCGAAAAUAAGACUAUAGUACCGAAGCUCCAGUACUAUAGAUAGUAUAGUAGCAUAAUUCUAUAUAUAUAUAUAUAGGCUAGGGCUACUAUCCUAUUAAUAGGAUAGUAGCACUUGUCCUAUCAAAUUGUUCUUGAUGAUAGAGAUUCCGAAUCAAUGAUCGGAGCCGUUAAAGUUGAUCUAGAGUAUUUGAAAUAUCUAAAAACUAAAUUUUAUAAAUUUUAAAAAUUAUUUACGUGAUGAUCAAAGUAUCGUAAAAUUGACAAUUUUUGAUUGUCUAUAUGAGCCGCUUGCUUGUUUAACGGUGUAGAAUAAUCCAAAUUGGUUGAAUUUUUGAUAGAAAAUUCUUUAUACUAUUUAGAUAAUAUUUGAUAAUUCUGAUCAUGAUUUAAGAAAGUCUAACCUCUAUUUUAAGAAGGUUAUUCAUUUAUGACCGUUCAUUUUUUCGACUCUUCGAUAGACUUGAUAAUGAUUUUCAAAAAUUACAAAAUUCGGUUUUUAAAUAUUUCUUAUAGUGUAGAUCAAUUUCAACGGUGCCGAUUAUCAAUUUGGAGUGUCGAUCAUUCAAAACCAUUUGAUAGGACAAUGGUCCCAAUCCUAUUAAUAGCAUAGUAGCCGGACUCUAUAUAUAUAUAUAUAGUAUGAGGCUACUAUGCUUCUGGAAGCACGGAGCCUUUCGUGCUUUCAGAUCGUUUUCGAUGUUGCGACUUUCAAAUCAUCGAUCGGCUCCGUUAAAUUUGAUCUAGAGUAUUUGAAGUACCUAGAAAUUAAAUUUUAUGAUUUUUCGAUAUCAUUUGCCUAGUGAUCGAAUGGGCUCAAAAUCAAUAAUUUUAAUGGCCGUAGUGAACCGUUUGCAAGUUUAACGGUGUAGAAAUAUCCAAAUCACGUGAAAUUUUGAUAGAAAAUUUUUUAUACUAUAUAAAACAAGAUCAAUAUCUUUAGUCUAAAAUUUUAAUGUCAUAUUAUCACGUUUUGUAAGAUUUUUAUUUUUAACUGUUGAUUUUGAGUUCCUUCGUUCACUAGGCAAAUAAUAUCGAAAAAUCGCAUAAUUUAUUUUCUGGGUACUUCAAAUACUCUAAAUCAAGUCUAACGGAGCCAAUCGACGAUUCGAAAGUCGCAACAUGAAAAAUGACCUGGAAGCACGGAAGGCUCCGUGCUUCCAGAAGCAUAGUACCCUCACUCUAUAUAUCUAUAUAGAGUGCGUUUGGUAUGCUUCUGGAAGCACGGAGCGUUCCGUGCUUCCAAUUUGUUUUUGAUGUUCGGACUUUCGAAUUGACGAUCGGCUCCGUUAGACUUGAUCUAGAGUAUUUAAAGUAUCUAGAAAAUAAAUUUUGUGAUUUUUCGAUAUCAUUUGCCCAGUUAUCGAAGUCGCUCAAAAUCAACGGCUGAAAAUAAAAAUCUUACAAAAUAUGAUGAUAUGGCAUUAAAAUUUUAGAUCAAAGUUAUUGAUCUUGUUUUAUAUGGUAUAAAGAAUUUUCUAUCAAAAUUUCAUGUGAUUUGGAUAUUUCUACACAAUUAAACUUGCAAACGACUCACCACGUUGAUUUUGAGCCCCUUUGAUCACUAUGCAAAUGAUAUCGAAAAAUCGCAAAAUUUAUUUUCUAGAUACUUCAAAUACUCUAGAUCAACUCUAACGGAGCCGAUCGUCGAUUCGAAAGUCCGAACAUAGAAAACAACUUGGAAGUACAGAGGGCUCCAUGCUUCAAGAAGCAUACCAGCCCAUUAUGUAUAUAUAUAUAUAUUUAUAUAUAUAUAUAGAGAUCGGCUGGGAUACUAUCGAUAGCACUAAGGAUUUGGUGCUAUCGAGUUUUUCACCGUUAGAUUUAACCCUUUAAUUAUUUUUACAUGUUGGAUUAUACUAUUCAACCAACCACUCACUCAACCCUACAUCAUCGUAACCACGCAUUUCUCAAUCCAAUGGUUAAAAAAUGAAUAGCACCAAUAGCUUGUUGCUAUUGAUAGUAUUCCAGCCUAGUUAUAUAUAUAUAUAUAGAGAGAGAGAGAGAAAGAGAGAGAGAGAGAGAGAGAGUCCGGCUACUAUGCUAUUAAUAGCACGAAGCACUUGGUGCUACCAAGUUUUCCGCCGUUAGAUCUAUCAUUUUGAUCAUUUUCACCCGUUAGAUCAUACUAUUCAACCAACCACCCACUCAACCCUAGAGAGCCCACAUCAUCCUAACCGCACAUCUCUUAAUCCAAUGGCCAAAGACUUGGUAGCACCAAUGACUUGGUGCUAUUAAUAGCGUAGUAGCCUAGUUCUCUCUCUCUCUCUCUCUCUGUAUAUAUAUAUAUAUAUAUAUAUAUAUANGAAUGUAAAAUUUAUAGCUACUUUUGAAUAUACAGAUAGCAGCGCGCUUCUUAUAAAUAAUAUCCUUUUCUUCGAAAAAUUUUCAAUGACUAAUUAUUGGCUAGUUAAUAUAUUUUCAUAACUUUAUGUUUUUAAGUAAACAUUUUAAAUAUUAGACAUCAAAUCUUGAAAUGAAAUCUAUAUCUAUAUCUAUAUUUAAAUUUCGAUCUUCUAUCUAUUUAUAUAUAUAUAUAUAUAUAGAAAGAGAGAGAGUUGAGCUAGAUUACUCUCAAAAGCACCAUAAAGGUCGGAAAGAGUUUCACAAAUUCGAACACAUUUUAACUUAUUUAGGGACUAUACAGCGAUCAUCACUUGUACAGGCUUUAGCAUUCCAAAUACGACCACACGCAUUAAUUACUACUAACUAACUACCAAAAGUAGAAAGCUAAUGAGGAUCUCCUGAUUAACUAGCCCAGGCAUUUAAUAAUUAAACUGAUACCACUGCAAAUAUUACAUCAUAGUUUUAUAAAAAAUUUGAAAACGUGAUUCUUUAUAUAUUCGCAGGUGUUAAAAUCAACGAUCCGAAAUUUCUAAAAUAGGGUGUUAUUGAAACAAUUCAAGAUUUAUAUUUUUAAAACUCAUAACUUUUUAUACAUAUAUAUAUAUAUAUAUAUAUAUAUAUAUAUAUAUAUAUAUAUAUAUAUAUAUAUAUAUAUUAUUUGUUGGAACUGUACGUUCAAACUUUUAUUUCUAAACUUCCAUCGUUAAAUUUGACCUUGAGUAAAAUUUUUAUAAUUUGGAAAAAAAAUAUAAUUUCAUGCAUACCUUCUCUGUGGGGCGCCGUUACCGCGACGGUUGGUACGGUUGGAAGUUUUAUAAAAUAGGAUCUUUGGCCCCGCACUUAAUUUAACGACUUAGUUGAACUUAAAAAAGAAUUAAUUAUCGGAUUUACUACAACAAAAAUAGUCUAUAGCGACACUUUUAAAUAUAGGUACAUGUCAAAAAAAAUGCUGCUAGCUAAAAUUACCGACACUUUUAAAAAGUGUUGCUAUAUGUGGGAUCGCUAGGUAUAUAGUGACAGUUAAAGAGUGUCACUAUAACCUAAAAAAAUGUUGCUAAUUUACCAACACUUAUUUAAAUAUUUAACAACCGCCGAAACUCUAUCUCGUUGGCUGCGGUGGCGGAGGAGGACGACAGGAAAGGCUCUUCGUUUAGAAUUUCAGUGGAUUAAGUGAAGAUAGAAGAAAAGAUGGUAAUUGAUUUUUCUUUUUUUUUUUCUUUUCAGUUUGUAAUCGGGCCAAAUGGACUGGGUGUGGUGGGUUGAGUAGAGUAAUCUUUUAUUUUUUGUUGGAUUAGGCUUUAUAUUUAGGCAUUAGUAGAUGCUUUUUUAAAUUUUAGCAUAAAUGGGACACUUUCUCAAAAGUGUCCCAAACAUGUGUCCCUAUAAUCUAAUUCUGUUGUAGUGAUUGUGUCGGCUCCAAAUUAACCUCUCCUCUGGCUAGCGAAUUUUUGUCUUUUUUUUUUUGAAAAAAGAAAUAACUAAAAUUAACUAUUUGUGCACGAAGAACCCGGGAAUCUGAAUAUAUAGGGAUAUUUCGGUGUGAACGCAAAUGUUCUUUGCCACCAAUAGUGAUGGUUGGGUUUGCUUCGAGUGGAAGGAUCUUAUAGACUUUUUAAUCAUUUAAUUAAUUAUUAUUAACACAUCACAAACAAAUUAAGAAAAGAAUGAAAAGAGAAAGAAGAAGAAGAAAGAUUCUAUUUGUCAACUCAAAAAAAACAAAGAUGCAAGAUAUACACCUUAUAUUAGAAUGUAGCAAUGACAUUAAUUGCUCAAAAGAAAAAGAACAGUGUCUAUUGUUCUAUCAUCCACGAUCUUGAAUUAAGUGGAAAAAAAAAUUAGUUGAGUCUCGAAGAUUUGGUUAUGAAGAACAGUUCGCUUAUAAUUGUAAUUAGAGAGAAUUUACGUGAACUCAUCAUUAAUUUGCUCUAAAUGGCUAGCAGUUUUCCCACCGAUCUUGUGGCAUUGCUCGGAGUGAUCACUAGAGUUUCACAGAUAGCGCUUCGAAGACCGUGCACCACACACCUCAACCAAUAGACCAUAUUUUAUGCUUAUACUAGCGUAGUAACCCGUGCGAUACGACGGAUAGAUAAUUAAAAAAAAUAUAGAAAAUAUCAAUAAAAAAAAAGAAAAGAAAACGGCGAUAAAAAAAGCGAUAAUGAGGGGAGGGAUUCAUUUUGCCGUUGAACGAAAAUAAUAUACCACUUGUCACGGGGUUAGCUUUUUCGCCUUGAAAACCACCGCGCGGCGCUCAAGUGUCGUACACCCGAGCCAGCCUUCUCGAGUCCUCUCCACGGACAAGUCUCCCAGACUUAACAGCGGAAUACCAAUUCAAGCAUUUUGCCAAGCUUGCUCCUCCGCGAGACUUACAACCCGACUCUUCGCUUGUAAUCGAACCCCUCGUCGGACUCCUCGAGUUCCCAACGAGCAACCCCAAUACCGAGGUUGGCCACCAAGCUAGGUGCAUCCCGUCUUGCCAACCGAUCUCUCCUCGAGAGUGCUUCAUAACCGAAUGCCUUGUUGCCUUCAUCACUAGCCCCAAGGACAUUACAAGUUCUCCCCAACUUGUUCCAUUAUGAGUCUAGCCAAGCGUCUCGCCUCCCAUGCGUUUCGCUCCCGUGACUUAAUUCGCACGCCUCUAGCGUUAAGGUCCGGGCUUCGCAACAUCGCAUGCCACGAAGGGCACUCAUAAACAUAUGUUCCACACCAUCGUGCCUCAGGCGCCUGACAACGUCCAUGGCCAUACGCGGCUUGGAUCUCUGUAGUGGAGCGUACGAGCGGAUGAGGGAUAGUCUAGCGACGGAUUGUCCUCUGUAAAGGACAAGGCUCGCGAAGGCAAGUGUGCCGAGUGGGGAUUCGUGGGGCGCGGCGCCCACGAAGACCAAGAAGGCGGGACUCAAUAGGAGCGCUAAAGGGAGGCACGCCAAGGGAGAAUUCGUAUCGAGUGGAGCACACUCAAAAAUGAAGGAAAAGUUGCCAUGUGGCAACUUUAGAAGAAAUAAUAUAUAAAAAAUAAAUAAAAGAAUAAAAUAAAAAAUAUAUAUGAUUGAUAAUUGAAGUUUUUUUUUUCGAAUUAUUAUAAUUAAUUAACAUGUAAUGCAAGUUGGCCGAAUAACGAAUGAUAUGAAUCAAUUGGUCUGGUUCUUUCUAAUAAAGCAGUCUGGUUCAAGCAAAGGAAGAGGGCACCAGUUUGGUUCAGGUAAACAAAAAACAGGGAAUAUGAGCUGGUUUAGUGUAAAGGCUUCACUCAACCAUGUUUGGUUCAAGCAAAAAAAUGUGAAAUUAUUUGGAGAGCUUGAGCCGGUUCAGGAUGGGACUCAUACUCGACAAUUCGGUUCGGUUCAACUAAAGGAAAAGAACCGGUGGAGCCCACACCCCACAACAUUGAAGCUUGUGUUGCCAUGUGGGAAGUUUUUUGAGAAAUAAUGUAAAGUAAUAGAUAAUAGAUAAUAGAUAAUAGAUACUCCCUAUUAUUUAUUGAUUUAGAAAGUAUUAAUUGUUUAUUGUCGUUAAUUAAGGAAUUUUAAAGUUGAAAAUGCUUCUUAAAACUAAAAUUUUAAUGUAUGUUUGUAUGUCGAAAUAAGUUAUUUGAUAAUAACUUAUUCUUUAUGUGGAUUUUCUAUUGUGAUUAUAAAAAAGAAGCUUGAUUAUUGGUUCUUAUAAAGCGUUGAUAUUUAAAAUUUAUUUGGAUAAUAUAUUUCAUCUACAAGGUGGUUUAUUUUAAUCAAUUUUUUUUCUUUUGGAGGAUUUUAUAUGCUUUUCUAUUUUAAACAUUUGACCAUACUUAUAGCUUUCAAUCACAAUAGAAAAUUUUCAUAUCGAAUAGAGUAUAUAUCAGUGAAUAUCUUAUUUCAAUAUCGAAACAGAACUUCAAAGUAAAUUUCUAUUGAAAAAAUAAAAUUUCUAUGAAAUGAUCCACGUCUCAUGAGGAGACACAUGUCCCCUCAAACCCUCCUUUACUCUCUCUUUCUCUCUCUCUCUCUCUCCCUCUCUCUCUCUCUCUAUAUAUAUAUAAUUUUAAAUUUUGAUAUCAAAAUUUAAAAUUUUAAUAUUUUAAAAUUUUAAAAUUUUAAAUUUUGUAUUUUAUAUUUUAAAUUCUAAAUUUCAAUUUCAACUUAUAAUAUUUAUUUCAAAAUUUUAAACUUUGAAAUUUAAAAUUUUAAAUCUCUAAACUCUAUGAAAUUAAUUAAUUAAUUUUAUUAAUAACUCAUUACAUAUAAUAUAAUUAAUUAAUUUUAUUAAUAAUACUAGUAAUAAAUCGCGUAAUAAAAUCUAAUCUAAUAGAUGCAAUUUAAAUCAGGUAAAAUAUCGCUGUAUAAAAAAAUACAGUAUUUAAAUUUCUCGAGUAAAAUUUUACAAAUAUAGUGUAUUUGUGUGUAUAUAUAAUUAAUUUUACUAAACAAUUUCUUCUACAAUUUUAUUUUUCUUCUAUUUAUUGAGUUUUUUUAAAAUUAUUUUGAUACAUUUAUCUCAAAUUCUUCAAAUAUAAAUCUUUAUAAAAUAAUUUAUUGUAUAAAUUUACUUUGCGCAUAUACCAAUUUUAAUAACUUUUAUUUAAAUAGAUUUAACUAUUAAAUUAUUUUUAUAUAACUUUUAUUUAAUUAAUAAUUAAACUUGUGUAUUGCUUUUAUGCUAUCGGAAGCAUAAAGUAGUUGGUGUUUCUGAUUUUUUCGCCCUUAGAUCAAAGAUUCUAUAUAAAUCUUUAUAAAAUCUUUAUAAUAUAAUUCUUCAAAUAUAAAUCUUUAUAAAAUAAUUUAUUGUAUAAAUUUACUUUGCGCAUAUACCAAUUUUAAUGACUUUUAUUUAAAUAGAUUUAACUAUUAAAUUAUUUUUAUAUAACUUUUAUUUAAUUAAUAAUUAAACUUGUGUAGAGCUACUAUACUAUCGGAAGCAUAAAAUAGUUGGUGCUUCUGAUUUUUUAGCCCUUAGAUAAAAGAUUUUAUGGUUGGGAUGAUAACGGUCCCCUUAAGGUUGAGUGGUUUUCAGUGAUUAAUAAUAUUAAUCCAAUGAUUAGAAAUGAUCAAUUGGUUUGAUCUAAGGGCUAAAAAAUUAAAAUCAACAACCACUUUAUUCUUCCGAUAGCAUAGUAGCUCCACUUAUUAAACUUAUAAAACUAUAUAAAAAUAUUAAAAAUAAAAUUUAUUAUAAAAUAUUUUUAUAUCUGCAGCAUCGUACGGAUAUUUUACUAGUAAGCACAACGAGUGCUGCCUACGUAGGACCUGGAUCCUUCUGGAAAGUAUUCAUUUUUUAAAGUAAACAGAAUUGGUCGGCUCCAAUUAAAAGCACCGUUCCAGCUGCACACAUUUCCGUUGAAAGCGAGAUUCGUGCACGCAUUGAUCACAAGCUAAUUAAUAAGGUAAAUUAUACUUUCGUGUUCAAACGGUGAGUCGGGUUAUCCUUCGGUUCAGGAAGUAUCAGUCACGUGGUAUUUUUAAUAUUUUAAUUUUUAAAUUAAUUUUUUUUGAUUACUUUUAGCUUUUUGAAUUAAUAUUAUUUUUUUUAGAAGGCUAUCAAAAUCUUAAGAGGGAUAUUAUCAUCCCAACUCUGUAAUUUUUGAACUAAUUAAUGACCAAUAAAUCAAAAGCACGAAUUAUUUUAUACUUCUGAAAGUAUAGUAUACAUAUAUAUAUAUAUAUAUAUAUAUAUAGAGAGAGAGAGAGAGAGAGAGAGAGAGAGAGAAACUAAGCUCCUAUAUUUUUAAAAAUACUAAAUUAUUGAUACUCGUAGAUUUUUCGUCUUUGGAUUAAGAGAUGUGCGAUUACGUUCUCUAGGGUUGAAUGGAUGAUUGGUUGAAUAGUAUGAUCUAAUGAAUGUAAAUGAUCAAAGAGAUAAAUUUAACAGAAGAAAAUUACAAGUAACAAGUGCUUGAUAUUACUGACCGUUCCUAGAGCAAGUGACAAAGGGCUUGAUGGUUGGUAUCGGAGAUCUCAAGUUCGAAUCCUAAUUAAUUCACAUUUCAAACUAAAUUUAUUUCUAAAUAAAAUAAACGAAACGGAUAGCGUGCUAUCUAUUUCUCAAAAAAAAAAGAAGAAAAUGGCUUGAUACUUUUAGAAGCACCAUAACUGGACUCUAAAUGUAUAUUAAAAAAAACAUAACCGGGCUCUACAUAUAUUAAAAACACCAUAGUCGGACACUCUCUCUCUCUCUCUCUCUCUCUCUCUCUCUCUCUCUCUCUCUCUCUCUAUAUAUAUAUAUAUAUAUAUUCCUACUGGGAUACUAUCGAUAGCAUCAAGCGUUUGGUGCUAUCAAAUUUUUCGCUGUUAAAUUUAACCAUUUAAUUAUUUUUAUCCGUUAGAUUAUACUAUUAAACCAAUAAGUCACUCAACCCUAGGGGGGCCAUAUCAUUCUAAUCGUAUAUUUUUUCAUCCAAGGGUCAAAAAUCUAAUAGCACCAAUAGCUUGGUGCUCUUUAUAGUAUUCCAACCUAAUUCAUUUAUAUUAGGAGUAUUUAUUUGUUUUUGCUAUUAUUCGGUGGUGGGACCGAUAUUUGCCGCUCCUCACCUUGGCGGCGGCGGCGGGGCCGUUCGUGUCUCUCUCACUCUCCUUCUCUUUUUCGGGCCGAGUCCCCAAUCCUUCUUAUCAUCUUAAUUCUUAAACCGACACACAUUAUUAUUAUAUUAAAAAAAGGUGUGAAGCCCUUUUUGUAAUUUCGCGCACUAAAAUCCUUCGCGUGACCUCUUAGUAGGUCGAAGAAUUUGACCGCUAAGAAAAGGGUGUGAAACAACCCCUCUUUGUACUUUCGCGCACUAAAAUCCUUCGCGUGACCUCUUAGUAGGUCGAAGAAUUUGACCCGCUAAGAAAAGGCACUAAAAUCCUUCGCGAAAGGAACUAAAAUCCUUCACGGCCUCUUAGUAGGUCCAAGAAUUUGAUAGCUAAGAAAAGGGUGUAAAACAAUCAUUAUACUCUAAAAAUUUAAGCUGUUAUAAAACGGUGUUUAAACUUUUGUAUAUUUAACACUUCCGCUCGAGGAAAUUAAUAUGCUAGGAACCUGGCGUGAUUCGAAUUCAAGACCUCCUGCUCUGAUAUCAUGUGAAACAACCGUUGUACUUUAAAAGUUUAAGCUGUUAGAGAACGGUGUUUAAAUAUUUUUACAUUUACCAAAGGGUGCUUAGCAAACGAAUUGUCCCCUUACUAAAGCAAAAAUAUUUGUCAAUAAUUAAUUCAAAGUAUCAAGCAAGUGGCACAUCUCUUAAACCAAAUAUUAAUUAAACAAAUACCCUAAUUCUCGGAUAGUGGCCGAGGUAAUUGUACAACAUCGACUCUCCAUUAAUACCCUGUAAAACAAAUAUUAAUUUAUUCACGUUUAAUUUAGAGACUGAUGCUGAGGCACCGGCCCUAAGGGAGUGGUUCGAUGUCUUGAAAAAGCAUGAAAAUUAAACUAUUUUUCAGUUUUUUUUUUUUUUUUUUUUUUUUUUUUUUUUUUUUUUUUUUGUGUGUGGAGAACAUUUUUUUUUCUAACCAUUUUUUCGGAUAAAGAGUUCGGAGAGCUCAAACAGCUCAUUUUAUCAUUGGAUUUGAAAUUUUGUUUCUAAAAGAUACUAUUUUUUAAUAGGAAUCAAUAUAAAAAAAAAAAAACUUUUUCAAUUAUAAAACUCUUUUUUGAGAUAUGCGGUAAAAGAAAGCAUCGCACGAGUGUUGGCUAUUAGGUCAACAUUUCUGUCAUGUCUAGAAGACUAAUAAGUUGAGUUGGCUGAGCCCAAUAAGUUGAGUGAGGUUAUGGUCGAUAAUUGACCUAACAGUAAAAGGUCCGAUAAAUAAAUCUAACAUUCAGAUGCAUUGAGUCAGAUUGAAACUCAUAAAUACCGUCAUUGAGUUUUUAAAUGUGAUCGUUGCGAUCGGCAUGUAUUUUUGAGAUAAUAGGUUAGUCCUUUUGCAGCGGACGGAACAUCACACGUGGCGCUAUGUUCAUUAAUUGUAUUAAAUUAUAGAGAAUAAUGAAGCCCACGCAUUUAUAUGGUGAGCAUUUGUUUAAUCUUAAUUACAAUCUUAAGCAAAACUCAUUGUAACGCAUGAGCAACAAAGUAAGCUCUCGGAUGCUGAUCACAGCAUCAAGCACAAUCAGAAAUGUAAUCAACCAAAAUUGGCGCAUAUAUAUCAUAGUUUACAGUGACAUAUAUGCAACUAGUGAAAAUUUAAACUAGGUAAGUGACUAAUAUUUAUUAUCUAAUCUUAUUUAAAAAAUAUCACGGCAAAUAACUAAAUUUUAAAUUAUUUUAUAAAUUCCUACAAAGAAGUUUUUGAUUAAUUUACUUUUAAAAGAUAAAAUUUUAAAAAAUAUUCUUGCGCACUGCAGGGGUUGCUGACUAGCAUAAAGCUAUUACUUGAUAUACAAAGCCAAUUUCAAAAAUCAAUUAAAGAAAUAAAAUUUAAACAAUUUAAUCAACAAGGUACACAUAUUAAUUAUAAAAUUCAAAUAUUCAAACCAACAAAACCAAACGGAAAUCAAACUGUUGGUUUAGGUUUUAGCAUUAUUAAUAAAAUUUAAUAACUUUUUAAAUUGAAUAAGGCCAGUUCAAUUCUAAUUUAUGAACAAACCAUAAGCAUGCACGUCGCUAAGGAUGUAAAACGGGCAGCGGCCCACAACUACUGGCGGAAUUAAGGCAUAGUUAGGGACAUGUCAACGAGUCGAAUUUGGAAUGGAUUAUCAAAAUCCCGAAUCUCAACCCGACAAGCAAAUCCGAAAUUUGAAUUCGAACAAAGAUGAAUUUUGAAAAUCCAUAGCAAAGACUGAACCCAACCGACAAGUCUGAAACGCAAACCCAAAUCUAAGCUCGAAAUGAUUAUUUCUCUUUAGUAUAUUUUCCAUCAUAUUUCAUUAAAUUUUAAACAUUUUUAAAAUACAAUUUCAAAUAAAACACAAAAAAUUUUAAAAAAUUUCAAAAUAAAAAUUCUAAACUUGUUCCGAUUUGGGGACAACCGGGCAAGUUUGUUUGAGAAGAAGGGUGGAACAGCUAUUCCACGCAAAAAAUAAUGUGGGGGAUAUAAGGAGAGGAAUAAGGAUUCAUUCCCCUCCUUAUAUCUGAACCAAACGUUACCUACGGUUCAGUAGGCGGUUAGUUGAAUAAAAUGAUUUAAUGAGUGGAAAUAGCCAAGGGAUAGAUUUAACGGAUGAAAAUAGUCAAAUGAUAGAUCUAACGGUGAAAAACUUGGUAGCACGACACGGUUGGUACUAUAAUGUAAAAUUAAUUCGAGUUCAGUUAGCAUACAAAUAAUUUUACAAGCAAUGGUGUUUUAUUGUUACAUAUUUUAUGCAUUCAACGUGUUGCCACUUUCAAAAGUUUACAUUUGUCGAUUUCAAACGUCUUAUAUUUUCAUUAUGUGAAAAUAUAAGACGCGCGCCAAACUGAAAAUGCAUAAAUCCACAGAAAAUUUUUUUUCCUAUACAAAUUGUAUUAACUACGAAUUAAUCUCUACAACAUCCAACAAGCACAAACAAUACCUGAAAUUUUUUUAAGAAAAUUGUUAAAACGGUCCGGGCCACCCUUGGGCCGCCCAGCCUGGCAUGGCUUCACUCCUUAGGCCCGAACUUUCGGGUCGUACUGGGCCUCACUCUUUAGGCCCGAUGGUCUGGUACGACCCGACACGAAACAUGCCUGGACCGUGCCAGGCCGAGGAGAGCCCGUGGCCCGGCACGGCGCUGCCAACUUGGUCCGUGCCAGCCGGGCCAGCACGGUCCGAACCUCAUGGCCCAAGGCAAGUUGCCUUGGGCCUAGGGGGUCCGAUCUCUUGGGGAGAAGGGCUUGGCGCUCUCUUCCCAAUGUCUGAAGUGGUAGACUUUGGAAGGAGUGAUUUUUGGUCCAAUGGACCAAACAAUUUUGGUCCAUUGGACCAAAAACUCUUUUUUUUUCAAUAAUAAUAAUAAUAAUAAUAAUAAUAAUGUAUAUACUUUUUUAAAAAAUUAAAAAAUUAUUAUUUUAUAAUUAAUUUAAUUAAUAAAUUUUAAAAUUUUUAACUAAAAUAUUAAUUUAACUAAAAAUAAAAUACUUUUAUUUUAAAAUUUUAAUGCAGGAGUCUGCUGAGACGUCAUCGAUCCGCCUACGUCUGCAGGCCGAGGCCUAGGCCCCGCCAUCACAGGCUGCAGCAUGGUUGCGCUCAGUAUCAUCAUCAUCAUCAUCAUCAAAGCGAAGGCGAUGAGGAUGUUCACCUGCAGCAGCAGGGGCCAUUGUAGAGGGAAUGCGAACGAAUUAUUAGUAGUUGCAGUAGCAGCAGAGAGAGAGAGAGAGAGAGGAGGCUUAACGUGCACUUGUAGGAGAAUUUAGGCAAUGCUGGGGGGUUUAUAUAAGCAGACAUUGUAAGUAAGCUUGUAGGCCUAUCAAAAUUUAACACAGAUCGACUUACUCUUUAAUCUUGAUUGGUUUAAAGAAACCAGCAUUCUGUUAUAUAUAUAUGUAGCGCAAGUUUGGAUUAAAUGACAUGAGGCUGAUGGACCGAGUCAUAAUCGUGAUUCGUGGACGCUGUGUUUUCACGCUGUGAAUAGAUUAAUUAUGUAUUACUAAUCGUUCGAAUUUUUGAUAUUAAUGAUUAGCGCUGAUGAUCCGACGGCCUUAAUCUAAAGAAUAUAUAUACUUUUGUGACCAAUGGGGUAUAGGAGUUUCGGAGAACUACUUUGAGACCUUUUAUUAACCUGGAGAAUUAAAUAUAUACAUUCCAAAAAGUUUAACCAACUCAAAAGGUUGACCUGUUCAUCACGGCACUAAUAUUUUUUUAGAGACCAACAUCUAGCAUUAUGUACACCGAGGGGCCCAGGCUCAAAACCAACUCGAUCAUUCAUGUCCAUAGACUCCAUACACAGUCCACGAUAUGAGAAAAAACAAAUUGAAAAAGUAGAGUGGAUCCUUCACAGCCCGGAUUCCUCCACAUGAGGAACCAAUUGAAACAAAAAGUAAUUAAGGAGAUGCGUCCUUCAACAGCCCACAAUCCUCCCCCUGAGAAAAAAAGAUUGAAAUAUAAAGUACAUCCUUAAACCGUCCAAAAUCCUGCAAAAGAAAAGAGAAAUUGAAAUAAAAAGUAGAUCCUUCAACAAUCCAACUAAUGCCAUGUCUAAUCUUAGUGGGAAAAAAAUAUUUUCAAUCUAACUAUCUUUUUAAAAAGUUUCCUAACUAAGCUUCAUUUGGAUGGAUAAAGAAAGAAAAAAUAACUAAUCAAUAUUUAUGUAUUAACUGGGGGAGAGAUUUUUUUUUUAUUUUUUUAUUUUUUUUGUCUCCUCCGCUCUCCAAGGCCACCACACUGCUUCUCUCUCUCUCUCUCUAUCUCUCUCUCUCUCUCUCUCCACCCACACACACUCUCUCCUCCCCACAUACUAAUAUUUAAUAAUAACUAAAAAUAAUAUUUAAUAAUAAUAAUAAUAAUAAUAAUAAUAAUAAAUAUUAUUAUUAUUACUAUAUAAUGAUUUAUGAGUGUGAAAUAAGUUUCUACUAAGUUAAAAUUAUAUGACGAGCAGAGCGCGACUCUCGGCUCAGAGUAGCGAGAUGAUCCUCGUAUCGUCUGAUACUUGUAAAUAUACAUUAGUGUGACAAGAGCGUCAAGAUUUAAGAGGAAGAGAAUGUGAUAUACUACGAAUUUGAAAUUGCCAUAUAUAUAUAUAUAUAGGCUAGGGCUACUAGCAGAGAAGAAGCUAUAUGGAGAAGCCCAAGGUGGCCAUGGCCCUCUCAACUUUUCAAUAUUUGUUUAAUGGUUCUUCAAAGUUUUUUUUUUUGGACCAUAGAUAGCUUUGGCCCCCCUCAGCUUUUCAAUAUGUGUUUAAUGGCCCUUCAAAGUUUUUUUUUUUUUUUUUUUAAAUUUUUAUUUAUCUUAGGUGAGCUCUUUUAUUUGACUAAAUCAAUAAUUGCACUAAAUUUAAUAGUUAUGUUAAUUUUAUUUACAAAAAAAUUAAGAAAUUACUAUUAGAUUUAGUAAAAUUUCUAAGUUAUUUUAAUAUAAUAAUAUAAAAAUAAUAAUUAGAAGUUAAACAUACGAAAGUAAAAAACAUAAAGUUCAUUCUUUUAUAUUAUUUAUUUAAUAAAAAAUUUUUAAUUAGAAAAAAAAAAUUGUUUAUUAUUUAUUACUAAAGUUUCUAAUUAAAUAUAUUUUGGCCCUCCUCAAGAUUGAAUUCUAGCUUCGUCCCUGGCUACUAUACUCUUAUGAGUGUAGAACUGUUUAUACUUAUAAAUUUUUAACCAUUGGAUGAAGAGAUGUGCGGUUAGAAUAAUAGUAGUCUCCGAUUAAGAUGAUAGUGAACCCCUAGGAGUGAGUGGGUGGUUGGUUGAAUAGUAUAAUCUAACAGAUAAACGUGGUUAAAAGAGUAGAUCUAACGGCCGAAAAUUUAUGAUUACAAAGAGACCUAUACUCAUAACAGUAUAGUAGCCCGACUCUCUCUCUCUAUAUAUAAGUAUAAUUAAUACAACUAGAGCUUUUAAUUCAAUUAUAAUAUUCUAGCGAUAGUUAAGCCUAAGAGAUUAAGAGAUUUGAAUGAGUCUAAAAUUAGAGUAUAAUUAGAGGUG
rnacentral:lncRNA from 1 species